AAGUCCUGACAAAUAAGUAACAUUCUAAGUUGCCUUUAGAAAGGCAGCACCAACGAUAGCUCUACAUAUUUUGAAAUGGGCAGAAAUUUUAAAUUUUGGCAAUCUGGUCACAGAAACGCCAAAAUAAUGUGUUACUUAUAUCAACAUUUUUCAACGAAUACGUUAUUAGAGCAAUAACAAUUAAUGUAUGAACAUAUAAGUGUGCCCACGGUUAUCGGAAAAAUUAAAGAAAUCUCGUUUGAAUUUAUCAAAUAUACCAGUUUUAGUAUCACAUAUACCAAAACAUACUACUAAAAGAAUAAACUGUUCCGACCUGUUAAAUAAUUUUAAAGUUUUAAUAAAUUUAAAUUUGUUAUUAAAACCUUGAACAAUCUUUUCUCCGACAAUUAAGUGUUAUUAAAAAUAUGCAAGUAUCGGUCAUACUCUUUUAUCUAAAAAUAUGGUAAUUGUUUAAAAGUACUGUCCACGGUAAAAAAAACUGCUUAAAAAAAUAAAGUAAAAUAUGCAAAUGAUGUGUUUUUUUUCUAACAUUUCGAAAUCCGUUGGCGGAGAGUGAAAAUUUAGCAUGUGAUGUGUCUGGUGGCGGAUUAUUGCAAAUACGGUCGCUCAGAUUCGAGUUUGUGCUACCAAAUUUCGACAAUCCCCUGGAUUUCUUGUAAGACAGUUAAAAUUUAAAGUUCAACACGUACGUAACCAAAUACUUGGCGGGAAACAAUUUAAAGAUGGUACAACUUAACAAUUUUCGCGUGGUUGUUGCGAAAAUCAAACAAAAUUUGGUCGACUGGAAACGACAAAAUAAGCAACCAUACAGAUCAAGAAACAUGGUUGCCAUGCUAAAAAGGUUUAAUCUUUCCGGUGUGUUCAAGUUUAAACGAGUAAUUGCGAGUGGUAAAUUACCCUGAUUGACAUUUGAAUUUAUUAUUAUUUGACAAUCAAAUUAAAUCAAAUACAUUUUCUAUCUUUUUUAGUAAUAUGCCUAUUGGAAGGCUUUUGGUCUACGCAAGGAGUGGCCAAGGAAUGGAAUUCAUUCAAUGGAUCGAGCGUCAACACUUAAGGAUUGCGUCGGAUCCACUGGCGACUGCGGAUCACAUAUAAAUACACAUGUAAUUACAUUUACAUAGGUGGAUGUGCACAUAUAAAUCUAUUUAUAAAUCUGGCGUAUUUAAAUAUCUUUAUGAUUACGUUUAUUUACGAAAAGUAGGUAAGUAUAUGGAUGAGUACAUAUAAAUCUAUUUUUAACUAUCCAAAUUGUUUAGACAGAAGUCCAACACAAACGUUAAGCAAACAGCAUCGCGGCAUUCACUUCUUCGAUAUUUUUUAAUUUAAAGGUAUAAAUAUAUGUAAAGACACUCGUGAA